rnacentral:misc_RNA from 1 species
UAAGCAACGUUGGGCCUGGUUAGUACUUGGAUCGGAGACGGCCUGGGAAUUCCAGGUGUUGUAGACAUCUUCUUUUUCUUUUUGCAACAACACUAACUAAACAACUCACUUCUCACAGCGCAAAUAUAAUAAUUGGAAGGUGGAGAAAUUCUCAACGGUUUAAUUACCCAAGUUUGAGGUAAUUGAAUGUUUCAGCCCAGAGUUUCGGCUCAUGUGGCUUGAAGAUAAAUUUUGGAACGUCCUGUGCUAAACGGGACAACAAAAGGGUGAAUUUAUACGGAUGGGAGCUUAACAAAAAAUGCCAUUGGCGAUCGCAUCUAAAAUGUUGCUACGUUAGAAUUUUACCCUACAAUAACAUUGAAAAAAAAAAUAUUAUUGCUAUCUACGACCAUACCACGUUGAAAGCACGACAUCUCGUCCGAUCUGUC